GCCAAUAUCAAACCCAAUAACUGAUACCUAGAGACAAAUCUUUACAAGAAAGAAACCUAUCUGUUGAGGAAGAAAUAAAAGGAUAUAAUCAUAAAACAAGGUUAAAUUAGGGCGUAAAGGAAAAAAAUAACAAUAAAUUGUAGAUAAUAGAGAGAAAAAAAGGGGGAAGGAUGGGGCGAUGCGUCGGAGUCAUGGAAGAAUUAGAAACAGCGCAUGCUUUCUUUCAAGAAAACACGCUUCUUUAAUCGCAAACAACGCGUCGUCACUGCA
rnacentral:lncRNA from 1 species